rnacentral:rRNA from 1 species
CAGUCGCCACGGUAAUACAGAGGGUGCGAGCGUUAAUCGGAUUUACUGGGCGUAAAGCGUGCGUAGGCGGCUUUUUAAGUCGGAUGUGAAAUCCCUGAGCUUAACUUAGGAAUUGCAUUCGUUACUGGGAAGCUAGAGUAUGGGAGAGGAUGGUAGAAUUCCAGGUGUAGCGGUGAAAUGCGUAGAGAUCUGGAGGAAUACCGAUGGCGAAGGCAGCCAUCUGGCCUAAUACUGACGCUGAGGUACGAAAGCAUGGGGAGCAAACAGGAUUAGAUACCCCCGUAGUCCCUGUCUCUUAUAC